rnacentral:lncRNA from 1 species
AAAUUAAAAAGAGAUCCGACAUAUUGUGUGGUAGGGAAAUGAGACACUGAAGAAUUUUGUAAAUAACAGUCUGGAACAUUUUAAGAAAAUCAUUUUCUCUGCUAUUCAUGAAUCAACUCUGGUGGCUAAGGACCAAAAUAACUGUGUAUCUGUGUGGCUAGACACAUUGUGUAAAAAUCUAGGUGUCAUUUGACCCCUCCAAGAGAAGAGCUAAGAAAUAUUGGAACACCAGGUGAUAACUGACAUUGAAUUCCUCAAAGAAGCUAUGAAUGAAUAUCUAGAUAUUGAACCAAAACAUUGAGAAAUUGUGAAAGGAUAUUUCUAACGAAAAUUGAAUCUGACACUCAGAUCAUGUUUCGAUCA